AUGGUGGCGGCACUCCGCGCUGUCGUAGGUGGGUUUGCUGAGCCAGGGGGCCUCGGCGUCCUUAUGCAGGAAGUACCAGUAGGGGAGGGCACAGGGGGCCUCCCCGUCGGCCCGCCGCGGCCCGAGGCGCUUGCUUCCCGCAGCGUUGCGGCCCCUCCGGUCUCUGCGGCCCCGCCGGGCACCCUCGGCCUGGCUGGCUCGCUCCUGCAGGCGCACCUUCCCGGGGGGAUGGCCAUCAAACAGGGCCUCAUAAAAGCCCCUCUCGGCUGCAUCGUAGCGGGGUUUCUCCAGCCACACCUCCCGCACCAGCGCCUGCCGGCCGCCCCGUGGCGGGUGGCCGGUCGGGCGUGGACCGGGCUGGCGGACAAGGCGCAGAUCGAGGGCAGCUGCCUGCUGGCCCGUGUCGGGAGCCCCCAGUGCGCCACUCCCCUCUGUGGCCAGCAGCAGGGCCUGAGACCACUCCACAAAUGCCCGCUCAGCCUCGUCGAAGGACGACUUGUUGACCCAGAUGCCCCAGGCCACGUGGUGGCAGGCCACCUGGCUCCCGUGGGGUGGACGGGGGAGAUCGCAGGCAGGUGUUUGGGCAAGCCCAGGCCCUCACCUGAGUGCAGACAGGAUCUGUGUGCACCAGCGCGGAUGGACUCCAUGAGGUGGGCUCCGAAAGGCAGCUGGGCCCAGCCCUGCCCCGUGCCCCUCACUGUCUCUGUCCCCAACAGCACCCGGACCCCAGCCUGGCCCUGACCCACACCAGCCCACUUGCAUACCCUGGCAUUCAUGGCCUUGUGGUUCUUUUUGGUCUUCUUGAGGAAUUGCUUGAGGCUGCCUGACGACACGUACUCUGUGAUGAAGAUGACCUGCCAGGUGGCAAACUCACGGGCUCCACCAACAGUGGGUGCCCACAGCCACCCCACCCACUGGUACCACACCCACUGGUGCCCUACCACCCUAUGGUGUGCCCCACCACCCCAUGGUGUGCCCCACCACCCCAUGGCGUGCCCAGGGGCUCACCCGCGCUCGGGACUCUGAGGCAUCCAGCCAGUACUUAUGCAGCUUGACAAUAUUGGGGUGGUCUACCAGCGCCAGCUGCUCAAACAUGGUCUGGAUCUUCUCCUGGGAAGGGGGGUGCAGUCACCAGGAUGAUGGGGGGGUGGGGGGGUGGGGCAGCGGGCCUUACCUCAUGGACCAAGAAGGCCUUCCUGUCAGCGAAGUGCAGCUCGUUCCACACCACCUCCACCCCCUCCUCAGUGUCCAUGGCCAGGAACGUGCUCUGGACCCCCGGCAUGUUUCCCUGAUUCACCUGGGGGUGGGGGUGGGGGCAUGAGUGAGGUGGUCGGGGAAGGCUCAGUCCCUGCUCACAUCCUAUCCACCAGCCAGAGGGUGUGAAGCAGGCACUGGCCUUCCAGGGAGAAGCUGGGGACCCAGGAGCAGAGGCGUGGUGUCCUGGGGCUGGGCUGUGGGAAUUUGGGGCAUGCUUCGGGUUUUUUUGAGGAUGGUUCCCAGGAGGCUAACAGGUGAUCUCAGAGGCAUGGGGAGGUGGUCUCGAGAGACUGGCCCUUAAGGAAGAGGGGGUUUCUUACCAGGGCGUGGGGGCCAGGCUAAAGAAGUACGAGCGCGAAUCGAGAAGGAGGCCGCCUGAGCGAGGCUUCAGGCAGGUUCCCGGCCUCCUGGCUCCCUCAGAGUGCGCACGGCCCCGCGUGGCCCCAGGGCCGCUCCACCCGAGGUGGGCGGCGACCCUCCCCGCCCCGCCGCGCCCCCCCGCUCCCGCCCCCCCCGCCGGGCGGCCUGCUCCCCAUUCAGCCUCCCCCCCCCCCCAAGCAAGGAGGGCACUAGCCACGUCCUGAACAUCUGGGGAAGGGGUUACUCGGCAGCCCCCUGACUCGCGGAGCCGCUGAAUAGCGCGAGAGGGAAGGCGGCUGAUUCAGGGAGCAUGCCAGUUUGAUAUCAGGACUUGAUCACUGGAACGCGGCUCCCCGGGGAAGAGAAAAUGAAAAAAUAUGACUAAACUGUCCUCCUACACGGGCUGUCAUUAAAACAGUGCUCGGUGUGUCACAGAUAUUUUUUGCUUCAUCUCCAAAUAAUUUGUUCUUCCAACUUAAAAAAAUUUUUUUUUUUUUAAUUUUGAUUACCCCUUCCUCCACCUCCCCAGUAGGUGUGCCCUUUGCUCUGUGAGGCCAAGGGAAGGUCAGGGGUGUGUCCUCCCGCUGUGGAGGUGAAGCCCCCAGGCCUGGUCUACAGCUGAGACAGAAUGCCCGUCCUUCCCUCUCCCUCCUUGUCUGCCCUCCUCUUCUCUGCCCCUUUCUUC
ensembl:lincRNA